rnacentral:rRNA from 4 species
UUAAGCGACUAAGCGUACACGGUGGAUGCCCUGGCAGUCAGAGGCGAUGAAGGACGUGCUAAUCUGCGAUAAGCGUCGGUGAGGUGAUAUGAACCGUUAUAACCGGCGAUUUCCGAAUGGGGAAACCCAGUGUGUUUCGACACACUAUCAUUAACUGAAUCCAUAGGUUAAUGAGGCGAACCGGGGGAACUGAAACAUCUAAGUACCCCGAGGAAAAGAAAUCAACCGAGAUUCCCCCAGUAGCGGCGAGCGAACGGGGAGGAGCCCAGAGCCUGAAUCAGUGUGUGUGUUAGUGGAAGCGUCUGGAAAGGCGCGCGAUACAGGGUGACAGCCCCGUACACAAAAAUGCACAUGCUGUGAGCUCGAUGAGUAGGGCGGGACACGUGGUAUCCUGUCUGAAUAUGGGGGGACCAUCCUCCAAGGCUAAAUACUCCUGACUGACCGAUAGUGAACCAGUACCGUGAGGGAAAGGCGAAAAGAACCCCGGCGAGGGGAGUGAAAAAGAACCUGAAACCGUGUACGUACAAGCAGUGGGAGCCUCUUUAUGGGGUGACUGCGUACCUUUUGUAUAAUGGGUCAGCGACUUAUAUUCUGUAGCAAGGUUAACCGAAUAGGGGAGCCGAAGGGAAACCGAGUCUUAACUGGGCGUUAAGUUGCAGGGUAUAGACCCGAAACCCGGUGAUCUAGCCAUGGGCAGGUUGAAGGUUGGGUAACACUAACUGGAGGACCGAACCGACUAAUGUUGAAAAAUUAGCGGAUGACUUGUGGCUGGGGGUGAAAGGCCAAUCAAACCGGGAGAUAGCUGGUUCUCCCCGAAAGCUAUUUAGGUAGCGCCUCGUGAAUUCAUCUCCGGGGGUAGAGCACUGUUUCGGCAAGGGGGUCAUCCCGACUUACCAACCCGAUGCAAACUGCGAAUACCGGAGAAUGUUAUCACGGGAGACACACGGCGGGUGCUAACGUCCGUCGUGAAGAGGGAAACAACCCAGACCGCCAGCUAAGGUCCCAAAGUCAUGGUUAAGUGGGAAACGAUGUGGGAAGGCCCAGACAGCCAGGAUGUUGGCUUAGAAGCAGCCAUCAUUUAAAGAAAGCGUAAUAGCUCACUGGUCGAGUCGGCCUGCGCGGAAGAUGUAACGGGGCUAAACCAUGCACCGAAGCUGCGGCAGCGACGCUUAUGCGUUGUUGGGUAGGGGAGCGUUCUGUAAGCCUGUGAAGGUGUGCUGUGAGGCAUGCUGGAGGUAUCAGAAGUGCGAAUGCUGACAUAAGUAACGAUAAAGCGGGUGAAAAGCCCGCUCGCCGGAAGACCAAGGGUUCCUGUCCAACGUUAAUCGGGGCAGGGUGAGUCGACCCCUAAGGCGAGGCCGAAAGGCGUAGUCGAUGGGAAACAGGUUAAUAUUCCUGUACUUGGUGUUACUGCGAAGGGGGGACGGAGAAGGCUAUGUUGGCCGGGCGACGGUUGUCCCGGUUUAAGCGUGUAGGCUGGUUUUCCAGGCAAAUCCGGAAAACCAAGGCUGAGGCGUGAUGACGAGGCACUACGGUGCUGAAGCGACAAAUGCCCUGCUUCCAGGAAAAGCCUCUAAGCAUCAGGUAACAUCAAAUCGUACCCCAAACCGACACAGGUGGUCAGGUAGAGAAUACCAAGGCGCUUGAGAGAACUCGGGUGAAGGAACUAGGCAAAAUGGUGCCGUAACUUCGGGAGAAGGCACGCUGAUAUGUAGGUGAAGCGACUUGCUCGUGGAGCUGAAAUCAGUCGAAGAUACCAGCUGGCUGCAACUGUUUAUUAAAAACACAGCACUGUGCAAACACGAAAGUGGACGUAUACGGUGUGACGCCUGCCCGGUGCCGGAAGGUUAAUUGAUGGGGUUAGCGGCAACGCGAAGCUCUUGAUCGAAGCCCCGGUAAACGGCGGCCGUAACUAUAACGGUCCUAAGGUAGCGAAAUUCCUUGUCGGGUAAGUUCCGACCUGCACGAAUGGCGUAAUGAUGGCCAGGCUGUCUCCACCCGAGACUCAGUGAAAUUGAACUCGCUGUGAAGAUGCAGUGUACCCGCGGCAAGACGGAAAGACCCCGUGAACCUUUACUAUAGCUUGACACUGAACAUUGAGCCUUGAUGUGUAGGAUAGGUGGGAGGCUUUGAAGUGUGGACGCCAGUCUGCAUGGAGCCGACCUUGAAAUACCACCCUUUAAUGUUUGAUGUUCUAACGUUGGCCCGUAAUCCGGGUUGCGGACAGUGUCUGGUGGGUAGUUUGACUGGGGCGGUCUCCUCCUAAAGAGUAACGGAGGAGCACGAAGGUUGGCUAAUCCUGGUCGGACAUCAGGAGGUUAGUGCAAUGGCAUAAGCCAGCUUGACUGCGAGCGUGACGGCGCGAGCAGGUGCGAAAGCAGGUCAUAGUGAUCCGGUGGUUCUGAAUGGAAGGGCCAUCGCUCAACGGAUAAAAGGUACUCCGGGGAUAACAGGCUGAUACCGCCCAAGAGUUCAUAUCGACGGCGGUGUUUGGCACCUCGAUGUCGGCUCAUCACAUCCUGGGGCUGAAGUAGGUCCCAAGGGUAUGGCUGUUCGCCAUUUAAAGUGGUACGCGAGCUGGGUUUAGAACGUCGUGAGACAGUUCGGUCCCUAUCUGCCGUGGGCGCUGGAGAACUGAGGGGGGCUGCUCCUAGUACGAGAGGACCGGAGUGGACGCAUCACUGGUGUUCGGGUUGUCAUGCCAAUGGCACUGCCCGGUAGCUAAAUGCGGAAGAGAUAAGUGCUGAAAGCAUCUAAGCACGAAACUUGCCCCGAGAUGAGUUCUCCCUGACUCCUUGAGGGUCCUGAAGGAACGUUGAAGACGACGACGUUGAUAGGCCGGGUGUGUAAGCGCAGCGAUGCGUUGAGCUAACCGGUACUAAUGAACCGUGAGGCUUAACCUU